CACGUAGGGCGCAAGCGUUGUCCGGAUUUAUUGGGCGUAAAGAGCGUGUAGGCGGUUAGGUAGGUCCGUUGUGAAAACUCGAGGCUCAACCUCGAGACGCCGAUGGAAACCAUCUGACUAGAGUCCGGAAGAGGAGAGUGGAAUUCCUGGUGUAGCGGUGAAAUGCGCAGAUAUCAGGAAGAACACCCGUGGCUAAGGCGGCUCUCUAGUACGUGACUGACGCUGAGACGCGAAAGCGUGGGGAGCGAACAGG
rnacentral:rRNA from 1 species